GGCCUACGGGGCGCAGCAGUGGGGAAUAUUGCACAAUGGGGGAAACCCUGAUGCAGCAACGCCGCGUGAGUGAAGAAGUAUUUCGGUAUGUAAAGCUCUAUCAGCAGGGAAGAAGAAAGACGGUACCUGACUAAGAAGCCCCGGCUAACUACGUGCCAGCAGCCGCGGUAAUACGUAGGGGGCAAGCGUUAUCCGGAUUUACUGGGUGUAAAGGGAGCGUAGACGGCAUAGCAAGUCUGAAGUGAAAGCCCGUGGCUCAACCGCGGAACUGCUUUGGAAACUGUUAAGCUGUA
rnacentral:rRNA from 1 species